rnacentral:rRNA from 1 species
ACUGAGCGGCGGACGGGUGAGUAACGCGUGGGUAACCUGCCUCAUACAGGGGGAUAACAGUUGGAAACGGCUGCUAAUACCGCAUAAGCGCACGGUACCGCAUGGUACGGUGUGAAAAACUCCGGUGGUAUGAGAUGGACCCGCGUCUGAUUAGGUAGUUGGUGGGGUAACGGCCUACCAAGCCGACGAUCAGUAGCCGACCUGAGAGGGUGACCGGCCACAUUGGGACUGAGACACGGCCCAA